rnacentral:rRNA from 1 species
GACGAACGCUGGCGGUGUGCUUAACACAUGCAAGUCGAACGGUAAGGCCCUUUCGGGGGUACACGAGUGGCGAACGGGUGAGUAACACGUGAGUAACCUGCCCUCAUCUCUGGUAUAACAGUCGGAAACGGUUGCUAAUACUGGAUAUGAGCCUGCAAGGCAUCUUGUGGGUUGGAAAGAUUUUUUGGUUGGGGAUGGACUCGCGGCCUAUCAGCUUGUUGGUGAGGUAGUGGCUCACCAAGGCUUCGACGGGUAGCCGGCCUGAGAGGGCGACCGGCCACAUUGGGACUGAGAUACGGCCCAAACUCCUACGGGAGGCAGCAGUGGGGAAUAUUGCACAAUGGACGGAAGUCGGAUGCAGCAACGCCGCGUGCGGGAUGACGGCCUUCGGGUUGUAAACCGCUUUCAAUUGUGACGAAGCUUUUUGUGACGGUAGCAGUAGAAGAAGCACCGGCUAACUACGUG